rfam:Xenopus laevis strain J chromosome 3L, whole genome shotgun sequence.
UACAUGCUACUCUAAAUGCACCUUUGUGGAUAUCUCAUUCUAAUUGCAUGUCUUAUGCCUUCAACAAUUCUAGCAUAGACAUUCAGGAACUUUAUGAUUUUAUAGUGAGCGUUGAUUUGGUCAUUGGCAUGAGAGUAAUAUACUUGUAUUUUAGCCCUUUGUUUCUAAUACAGGUUUGGGAUCUGUUAUACAAAAACCCAUUAUCCAGAAAGGUCUGAAUUACAGAAGGC